rnacentral:rRNA from 2 species
GACGGAGGGUGCAAGCGUUAUCCGGAUUCACUGGGUUUAAAGGGUGCGUAGGUGGGCAGGUAAGUCAGUGGUGAAAUCUCCGGGCUUAACCCGGAAACUGCCAUUGAUACUAUCUGUCUUGAAUACCCUGGAGGUGAGCGGAAUAUGUCAUGUAGCGGUGAAAUGCUUAGAUAUGACAUAGAACACCCAUUGCGAAGGCAGCUCACUACGGGAAUAUUGACACUGAGGCACGAAAGCGUGGGGAUCAAACAGG